rnacentral:rRNA from 1 species
GUGAACGCUGGCGGUAGGCCUAACACAUGCAAGUCGAACGGCAGCACAGUAAGAGCUUGCUCUUAUGGGUGGCGAGUGGCGGACGGGUGAGGAAUACAUCGGAAUCUACUUUUUCGUGGGGGAUAACGUAGGGAAACUUACGCUAAUACCGCAUACGACCUACGGGUGAAAGCAGGGGAUCUUCGGACCUUGCGCGAUUGAAUGAGCCGAUGUCGGAUUAGCUAGUUGGCGGGGUAAAGGCCCACCAAGGCGACGAUCCGUAGCUGGUCUGAGAGGAUGAUCAGCCACACUGGAACUGAGACACGGUCCAGACUCCUACGGGAGGCAGCAGUGGGGAAUAUUGGACAAUGGGCGCAAGCCUGAUCCAGCCAUACCGCGUGGGUGAAGAAGGCCUUCGGGUUGUAAAGCCCUUUUGUUGGGAAGGAAAAGCAGCAGGUUAAUACCCCGCUGUUCUGACGGUACCCAAAGAAUAAGCACCGGCUAACUUCGUG